rnacentral:tRNA from 1 species
GGGCAUAUGGUGUAGUUGGUUUAUCACGCUCGCUUAGCACUGCGCGUUUGCGAGAGGUGUCCGGUUGAAUUCCGGAUAUGUCCA